rnacentral:rRNA from 1 species
UCCGAUUAGCCAUGCGAGUCAUGGGGGUGUCCCUUCUGGGACACCACCGGCGGACGGCUCAGUAACACGUCGGUAACCUACCCUCGGGAGGGGGAUAACCCCGGGAAACUGGGGCUAAUCCCCCAUAGGUGUGGGGUACUGGAAGGUCCCCACACCGAAAGGGGCCUCGUGCCCGCCCGAGGAUGGGCCGGCGGCCGAUUAGGUAGUUGGUGGGGUAACGGCCCACCAAGCCGAAGAUCGGUACGGGCCAUGAGAGUGGGAGCCCGGAGAUGGACACUGAGACACGGGUCCAGGCCCUACGGGGCGCAGCAGGCGCGAAACCUCCGCAAUGCGGGAAACCGCGACGGGGGGACCCCCAGUGCCGUGGCAACGCCACGGCUUUUCCGGAGUGUAAAAAGCUCCGGGAAUAAGGGCUGGGCAAGGCCGGUGGCAGCCGCCGCGGUAAUACCGGCGGCCCGAGUGGUGGCCGCUAUUAUUGGGCCUAAAGCGUCCGUAGCCGGGCCCGUAAGUCCCUGGCGAAAUCCCACGGCUCAACCGUGGGGCUUGCUGGGGAUACUGCGGGCCUUGGGACCGGGAGAGGCGGGGGGUACCCCUGGGGUAGGGGUGAAAUCCUAUAAUCCCAGGGGGACCGCCAGUGGCGAAGGCGCCCCGCUGGAACGGGUCCGACGGUGAGGGACGAAGGCCAGGGGAGCGAACCGGAUUAGAUACCCGGGUAGUCCUGGCUGUAAAGGAUGCGGGCUAGGUGUCGGGCGAGCUCCGAGCUCGCCCGGUGCCGUAGGGAAGCCGUUAAGCCCGCCGCCUGGGGAGUACGGCCGCAAGGCUGAAACUUAAAGGAAUUGGCGGG